rnacentral:rRNA from 1 species
GUCCUUGCCGUAAACGAUGUGGAUUAGGUGUUAGGGGUGUCGAUCCCUCUAGCGCCGACGCUAACGCAUUAAAUCCACCACCUGGGGAGUACGGUCGCAAGACUGAAACUCAAAGAAAUUGACGGGGACCCCGCACAAGCGGUGGAGCAUGUGGUUUAAUUCGAGGCUACGCGAAGAACCUUACCCAGGCUUGACAUGUAGUUGAAUGGCUGUGAAAGCAGUCAGGCCCGCAAGGGACAAUUACACAGGUGCUGCAUGGCUGUCGU